CAUUGGGAGUAGAGAGUGGUGGAGAGAAAGAGAGAGAAGGUCAGAGAGGUCAGUAAAGUCCAGACCAUGCACAGCUUCAGGUCAGGUGAAGAAUGGGAAGCUAUUGGCAGAUUUUAAGCAGGGGAAUGUCAUGAUCUAAUGUUUUCAAAAGACCACUCUAGCAGGAGUGUGGUGGAGUGAGAGUGGGUGUGGGAAGAGCAGUUAUAUGACCAUUUAAGCGAUCUUAGCAGACAUGAUGGCAGCUCUGCAAUGAAGACCAGGAGAUGAACACGGGAUACAUUUUGGAGUUGUAGCUGAUCGGGCAUACUGAUGGAUUAGAGGGGGGUAGCAGUAAGCAAGGGGUCUUUGAAGAGUUCACCCAGGAGCUUCAAAAUGAGGAACAGUGCUUGCAAUUUCCUUGAAUACUAAGAACAUCCAGCUAUUUGUAGACAGAUAAAAGAGAGCAGCCCCCAGAGGUGCUGAUCCAGCCAAGAUAGCUCAUCCAGUUCUCAACAGGACUAAAGGACUUAUCUUAUGCCUAGUUUUU
rnacentral:antisense_RNA from 1 species